rnacentral:tRNA from 1 species
GGCAGGUUGUGGCUCAGUGGUAGACCUUCUGUUUAGCAUCCAGAAGGUCCCUGGCUCAGUCCCUGGCAUUUCCA